rnacentral:rRNA from 1 species
UGGGGAAUAUUGGACAAUGGGCGCAAGCCUGAUCCAGCCAUACCGCGUGAGUGAAGAAGGCCUUCGGGUUGUAAAGCUCUUUCAGACGGAAAGAAACGGUUACGGCUAAUACCCGUGACUAAUGACGGUACCGUAAGAAGAAGCACCGGCUAACUACGUGCCAGCAGCCGCGGUAAUACGUAGGGUGCGAGCGUUAAUCGGAAUUACUGGGCGUAAAGCGUGCGCAGGCGGUUUGGUAAGACAGAUGUGAAAUCCCCGGGCUUAACCUGGGAACUGCAUUUGUGACUGCCAGACUAGAGUGUAGCAGAGGGGGGUAGAAUUCCACGUGUAGCAGUGAAAUGCGUAGAUAUGUGGAGGAAUACCGAUGGCGAAGGCAAUCCCCUGGACCUGUACUGACGCUCAUGCACGAAAGCGUGGGGAGCAAACAGGAUUAGAUACCCUUGUAGUCCCUGAGCGGGCUGGCAAGGCGCAU